AGCUGGUCUGAGGGCAUUGCGGUGGUGUUUACAAUUGAUCAUAGCCAGUUAGAGUCCUUUGUUCUUUCUCCAUUCCUUCUGCUUCACUUGACUAGCCUUUA
ensembl:misc_RNA Y_RNA Y RNA